UGAAAGGAUUUCCUCUUUUUGUAUUGUUUGGAAUAGUUUAAGAAGGAAUGGUACCAGCUCCUCAUUGUAUCUCUGGUACAAUUCGGCUGUGAAACCGUCUGGUCCUGGGCUUUUUUGGUUGGUAGGCUAUUAAUUACUGCCUCAAUUUCAGAACUUGUUAUUAGUCUAUUCA